GGAGAUUAUAACAGAACAUGGCCAAGAUGUUCAAAUGUUCAUAAAUGACCAGCAUGGUCGUAUAAUAAUAAGGCAGAACAGUUGAAACUGGAGCAGCAGCACGGUCAGAUGGACUGGGGACAGCAAGGAGUCAUCAUGUCAGGUAGUCCUGGGGCAUGGUCCUAGGGCUCGGGUCUUCCGAGAGAGAGAAAGAAAGAGAGAAGGAGAGAAUUAGAGAACGCACACUUAGAUUCACACAGGACACCGAAUAGGACAGGAGAAGUACUCCAGAUAUAACAAACUGACCCCAGCCCCCCGACACAUAAACUACUGCAGCAUAAAUACUGGAGGCUGAGACAGGAGGGGUCAGGAGACACUGUGGCCCCAUCCGAGGUCACCCCGGACAGGGCCAAACAGGAAGGAUAUAACCCCACCCACUUUGCCAAAGCACAGCCCCCACACCACUAGAGGGAUAUCUUCAACCACCAACUUACCACCCUGAGACAAGGCUGAGUAUAGCCCACAAAGAUCUCCGCCACGGCACAACCCAAGGGGGGGGCGCCAACCCAGACAGGAUGACCACAACAGUGAAUCAACCCACUCAGGUGACGCACCCCCUCCAGGGACGGCAUGAGAGAGCCCCAGUAAG
ensembl:lncRNA